GAGAGUUUGAUCCUGGCUCAGGACGAACGCUGGCGGCGCGCCUAACACAUGCAAGUCGAACGAGAAAGAGGGAGCUUGCUCCCUUGAUCGAGUGGCGAACGGGUGAGUAACGCGUGAGGAACCUGCCUCAAAGAGGGGGACAACAGUUGGAAACGGCUGCUAAUACCGCAUAAGCCCACGGCUCGGCAUCGAGCAGAGGGAAAAGGAGCAAUCCGCUUUGAGAUGGCCUCGCGUCCGAUUAGCUGGUUGGUGAGGUAACGGCCCACCAAGGCGACGAUCGGUAGCCGGACUGAGAGGUUGAACGGCCACAUUGGGACUGAGACACGGCCCAGACUCCUACGGGAGGCAGCAGUGGGGAAUAUUGCACAAUGGGGGGAACCCUGAUGCAGCGACGCCGCGUGGAGGAAGAAGGUCUUCGGAUUGUAAACUCCUGUUGUUGAGGAAGAUAAUGACGGUACUCAACAAGGAAGUGACGGCUAACUACGUGCCAGCAGCCGCGGUAAAACGUAGGUCACAAGCGUUGUCCGGAAUUACUGGGUGUAAAGGGAGCGCAGGCGGGAGAACAAGUUGGAAGUGAAAUCCAUGGGCUCAACCCAUGAACUGCUUUCAAAACUGUUUUUCUUGAGUAGUGCAGAGGUAGGCGGAAUUCCCGGUGUAGCGGUGGAAUGCGUAGAUAUCGGGAGGAACACCAGUGGCGAAGGCGGCCUACUGGGCACCAACUGACGCUGAGGCUCGAAAGUGUGGGUAGCAAACAGGAUUAGAUACCCUGGUAGUCCACACCGUAAACGAUGAUUACUAGGUGUUGGAGGAUUGACCCCUUCAGUGCCGCAGUUAACACAAUAAGUAAUCCACCUGGGGAGUACGACCGCAAGGUUGAAACUCAAAGGAAUUGACGGGGGCCCGCACAAGCAGUGGAGUAUGUGGUUUAAUUCGACGCAACGCGAAGAACCUUACCAAGUCUUGACAUCCCUUGACGAUGCUGGAAACGGCAUUUCUCUUCGGAGCAAGGAGACAGGUGGUGCAUGGUUGUCGUCAGCUCGUGUCGUGAGAUGUUGGGUUAAGUCCCGCAACGAGCGCAACCCUUAUGGUCAGUUACUACGCAAGAGGACUCUGGCCAGACUGCCGUUGACAAAACGGAGGAAG
rnacentral:rRNA from 1 species